rnacentral:rRNA from 1 species
GCUGGCGGCGUGCAUAAUACAUGCAAGUCGAACGCGCAGCGAGAGGUGCUUGCACCUUUCAAGCGAGUGGCGAACGGGUGAGUAACACGUGGAUAACCUGCCUCAAGGCUGGGGAUAACAUUUGGAAACAGAUGCUAAUACCGAAUAAAACUUAGUAUCGCAUGAUAUCAAGUUAAAAGGCGCUACGGCGUCACCUAGAGAUGGAUCCGCGGUGCAUUAGUUAGUUGGUGGGGUAAAGGCUUACCAAGACGAUGAUGCAUAGCCGAGUUGAGAGACUGAUCGGCCACAUUGGGACUGAGACACGGCCCAAACUCCUACGGGAGGCUGCAGUAGGGAAUCUUCCACAAUGGGCGCAAGCCUGAUGGAGCAACGCCGCGUGUGUGAUGAAGGCUUUCGGGUCGUAAAGCACUGUUGUAUGGGAAGAAAUGCUAAAAUAGGGAAUGAUUUUAGUUUGACGGUACCAUACCAGAAAGGGACGGCUAAAUACGUGCCAGCAGCCGCGGUAAUACGUAUGUCCCGAGCGUUAUCCGGAUUUAUUGGGCGUAAAGCGAGCGCAGACGGUUGAUUAAGUCUGAUGUGAAAGCCCGGAGCUCAACUCCGGAAUGGCAUUGGAAACUGGUUAACUUGAGUGUUGUAGAGGUAAGUGGAACUCCAUGUGUAGCGGUGGAAUGCGUAGAUAUAUGGAAGAACACCAGUGGCGAAGGCGGCUUACUGGACAACAACUGACGUUGAGGCUCGAAAGUGUGGGUAGCAAACAGGAUUAGAUACCCUGGUAGUCCACACCGUAAACGAUGAAUACUAGGUGUUAGGAGGUUUCCGCCUCUUAGUGCCGAAGCUAACGCAUUAAGUAUUCCGCGG